CAUUUCAUUUCGUUUUCCCUUUCUCUUUAUUUAGGGUUCUUCUUUCACCAAUUCAACCACCAAGAAGCAUUUCAAGAUGAAUCAAAUGACACUGUCUCUUCUUCCACCGACGAACCUAUCGAAUUCGACGAAUCGAAACCUAUUGUAUUCCAUCAAUCUCUCGGUCAUCUUUCGCUUUCAGCCGCACCAGUAUCGUUUUCGACCACAAUCGGGGAUGCACCAAUCUAGCCAUCCUCCCUAAAUUCUGACGUCACACCAAUCUCACUGUUCAUAGAUUCCGGAUUCUCACCAAUCUCGUUUUGAUCUCUUCGAUGGUAAGAAAGGUGUAAUUAGAAUGCUACAAAGGGAAAUUUAGCAACUCCCCACCCUACAAAGCAGGGUGGAAAAUUUAAUUAGAAUGCUGCAAAGGGCCAGACUUCCAACUCUACUCUGGUGCCUCCAAAUCUAGUCAACAAAAUAAGAAGUCUAAGCAAGGUCGUCGGUGAUAUUGCAUUGAUUACCAUAUUCACUUAAUAAUUUUUCCUUGUACCUUGAGUAUGUGAAAGAUCGGAAUGUAACUAGAGUUUUUUUGUCAGGCCUUGCAUAUAUUGUUGUGCCGAAACACAAAUACUUUUCUUUAAAAUUUUGUAUUUCUUUAUUAAAUUACAAAAAUUUUGAAUGACAAGUAUACAAUUAUGUCUCAAUAUAAAUUAUUUUUUAAUUUUAAAAAUAUAUUAAUUGCAAACUUGCGGAUUUGAAAAUUCUUGAGGAUUUAGUUGCAAAAAUAUAUGCGAUAUUACCUGCGGAUUUAGAGGAAUAACAAAACAUCCUACAAAAUUACGACGGUUCUAACUGUCACGAUAUCACAUUCACGACAGUUGAAACUUGUCGCGAAUAACUACGAAAGCCAAAUUUAAAGGCAUAUUCACGACGGUUUUUAACCGUCUCCAUCUCUA